AACGGCCGUACCAUGCUGAAUAUACCGGUUCUCGUUAGAUCACCGAAGUUAAGCAUCAUUGGGCGCAGUCAGUACUUGGGUGGGUGACCACCUGGGAACACCGCGUGCCGUU